rnacentral:rRNA from 1 species
AUGAACGCUGACAGAAUGCUUAACACAUGCAAGUCCACUUGAACUUCGGUUUGGGUGGCGGACGGGUGAGUAACGCGUAAAGAACUUGCCUCACAGCUAGGGACAACAUUUGGAAACGAAUGCUAAUACCUGAUAUUAUGAUUUUAGGGCAUCCUAGAAUUAUGAAAGCUAUAUGCGCUGUGAGAGAGCUUUGCGUCCCAUUAGCUAGUUGGAGAGGUAACGGCUCACCAAGGCGAUGAUGGGUAGCCGGCCUGAGAGGGUGAACGGCCACAAGGGGACUGAGACACGGCCCUUACUCCUACGGGAGGCAGCAGUGGGGAAUAUUGGACAAUGGACCAAGAGUCUGAUCCAGCAAUUCUGUGUGCACGAUGAAGUUUUUCGGAAUGUAAAGUGCUUUCAGUUGGGAAGAAAAAAAUGACGGUACCAACAGAAGAAGUGACGGCUAAAUACGUG